GACGAACGCUGGCGGCAGGCUUAACACAUGCAAGUCGAACGCCCCGCAAGGGGAGUGGCAGACGGGUGAGUAACGCGUGGGAAUCUACCCAGAUCUUCGGAACAACUGAGGGAAACUUCAGCUAAUACCGGAUACGCCCUACGGGGGAAAGAUUUAUCGGUUCUGGAUGAGCCCGCGUUGGAUUAGCUAGUUGGUGAGGUAAAGGCUCACCAAGGCGACGAUCCAUAGCUGGGCUGAGAGGAUGAUCAGCCACACUGGGACUGAGACACGGCCCAGACUCCUACGGGAGGCAGCAGUGGGGAAUAUUGGACAAUGGGCGAAAGCCUGAUCCAGCCAUGCCGCGUGAGUGAUGAAGGCCUUAGGGUUGUAAAGCUCUUUCAGUAGGGAAGAUAAUGACGGUACCUACAGAAGAAGCCCCGGCUAACUUCGUGCCAGCAGCCGCCGUAAAAC
rnacentral:rRNA from 1 species